ACAGAGCACAGCAUCGUCUUGCUGAAGACCACUUCUCCCAAAUCUUAAAAGCACAAUGAUGAGUGUCUACAUCACCGAGCUGUUAAAGAAUUAAAUUCUUUGUCUUCCAGGAAAGUAAAGCACAGAGGAGUAUUUAAGACCACAAUUUCCAUGGUGAAGCCAGGAUGAGAACUCAGGAAUGCCUGAGUGUCACCUCUCUGCUUGGAUCACACAGUCAGGCUGCUUCUGGAUGGCAGGCGUUCUUCACGCUGCUGGAGAUGAAGGACUUGAGCAACUGUUGUCUCAUCUGAUGCUUUAGUAACUGAAGAACAAACACACAGGCUCCCAGCUCAGACCAAAGACUCUGAAAGGAAAGACUUAUUUUUCUGCUUGCAUUAAAAUAAUGCUUUCUUCUAAAAUUUCUUUAAGAAUCAGCAUAAGUAUUUAAGUUAAAACACAGAAUCAACCCUGCCUCAGCCUGGGUAUGGGGGAAAAGGAUCUCACCUUCCUGGAUGGCUAUCUAAAAGAGGCCAGAAAAAAAGACUACGUAUUAGCCAUAUUCUUUAUUUCUAAGCAGCUUUUGCAGAGCUUUCCAAAUGUGGGCAGUCCCCUUUAAACAAAGCAGAGACACCAUUUGAGAGGCAGAGAUUGAACCUCCAAGUCCAGCCUCUGCCACGGCAGCAGACUGUGGCAAUGGGAAGGAGAUAUUUCAGAGCUCUGAUCCUACAAACUGAAAGUAACUCUAAAAUUUAGGAAAAUAAUUUUGUUCAUCUUGCUGCCCCAAGCAGUGUAGUGAAAGAAAGCAUGACAGAGUUUUGAAAAUAGAGAUGCUUUCAUUUCUGGUGUGACACCCACAAAGGCAGUAAUAAAAAUACAAUCAUUAUUUUUACAUACAGCCACAAAUGUUUUAGAAUGCAUGAAGCCCAAGUGAAAUUGGUCCCUAAAUCACUAAGGCAUCUUGACAACUAUACUCAUUAAUAAAGCUGAUGAAUUAAGCUAGGUCAUACCUGUUGCAGUAAUCAACUACAGACUCUCGGGUUGUAAAUAAAGCCUCUUCUCCUUUCUUUGCCUUUGCCCAUUUAGAAUCCAGGAGGCAAUCCACUGCUUUUGAGGC